CAAAGAUGGCCGACAUGUUAUCGAAAUGAACCUGAAUGUCCAAGUAAAGUGUGUCUAUUGACGAGUGUUUUAUUUUUGUGAGAUUUUAGAAACAUGCUUGAAUUAGAGGUCAUUCCAGAAAGAAGUCUAGGCAACGAACAAUGGGAGUUCGUGUUAGGAAUGCCACUAUGUCAAGCAGUCCACAUACUGCAAAGGUACUGCAGAGUGAUAAAAACUGUGCAGUUUGUCUACAGUGAGCAGGUAUAUGCACCACUUACGACAGAUAUAACUCUGAAUCUAACUAAUGAUGGGAUACGAUUGAUAUUCGAUCCAAAGUCACAGAGGCUGAAGAUUAUAGAAGUGGGAAGUCUUUCAAGGGUAAAAUUAAAAUAUUGUGGAAAGACCUUUGCCUCGCCACAAGUCCCUCCCACAAUAGAGCAGAUUGACCAAUCGUUUGGUGCGACACAUCCUGGUGUGUAUGAUGCUGCGCUACAGCUGUUUGUGCUUAACUUCAGGGGCCUGUCCUUCUCAUUCCCCAUAGAGAGCAAGUUUCAGCCAAAGUAUGCACAUGGGCUUGGAUCGUUGCAAUUCCCAAAUGGAGCUCCACCGAUAGUUUCCAAGAUGUGUAUCUAUGGUGGCAAUAGUCUGCCCGAUGCAAGGGCGCCACCUGUACCAGUGAGCUGUUUCUAUGGCAGUCUUCACCUCGACCAUCUAGAAGUGCUCAGAGACAGCCAGUCUGGGAUGAGCACAGGCCUGAGGCUGACACUGAUGUCAGAGGCGUCGGGAGUCGUCAAGAUAUCGGAGCUGAGGAAGCACACGGUCGAGUGUACGGCGAUGUUCGGCAGCAGCUGUGAGGACAUCCUCGCCACUCUCGGCUGCCCCAGCAAGGUCUUCUACAAGGCCGAGGACAAGAUGAAGAUACACAGUCCCGGCGCACACAGGCUCGUGCGCUCGCGCAACUCCGACUACUUCUACAACUACUUUACGCUCGGCAUCGACGUCCUCUUCGACGCUAAAACACACACGGUGAAGAAGUUUGUCUUGCAUUCGAACUUUCCUGGUCACUACAACUUCAAUCAAUACAUGAGGUGCGACUUCAGGAUACCUGUGCUCGGGGACAAGGAACUUACACCGUUCAGGGAGGCGUUACAGGGAUGCUCUCACGCUAACGACAACCUCUACAUCACGACCCUGUCCACAUGGAACAGCGUGCAGGACCUGCUGAACAAGCCUUCGGAGAAGCCUGUCGUGCUAAACAGGUCCUCUUCGACGAACACCACAAACCCGUUCGGCUCCACCUUCUGCUACGGCUACCACAACCUUAUAUUCGAGGUGAUGCCUAACAACCACAUUGCGUCUGUGACACUCUACCAACCGACUGGCGUUCACCUGAAGAGCUAGCACCCACUAUGGUAUUGCGUGGAACCGGGACCAUGGUUGCCGUCAUCCGGCAGCUAGUGAUGGCGAAGAGGUUACGAGAGGCUGCGCACUCGGAUGUGGCGGCGGCUAACGGGGGCUUUUCCCGUCGGCCAGGAGACCGGUGCUGUAGGAUUUGUUUUCCAGCCGCGUCUCUGCAGAGCUAGGUUUCAUCAGGGUGAAAACUGUACAUGGUGAAGCCAUCUAUUCAUUCGUGAGUGCCUCGCCAUCUUCGCUCAGCACCACGUCGCUAGAUUCAGGGUAAAAAUUCUUUGCGAUAGCGGUCGCUGAAUGAUCGAUAGUUAUACGUUAUCUAAAGUCUGCGCUUACAGUAGGGGUCCCGUAUCGUUACACGUAAGAACACUUGCACGUGCAUUAAUAAGGUGGACUUAUUAUAAUGAAAAGCAAUAUAUAACAAAUGGGAGAAGUGCUAUAAGAAGACGUGAUGAGAAAAGGAUUUUCUGCGCCAAAGUUCCUGGCGAUAUGUGGGAAAUUUAUGUUGGGCAAGACUAAUACACGCACAGCCUGAUUCCAGAACUUGGGAAGAAGCAUUUAGUAGGACAAUUUAAACAUUUGAGCACUGGUGGCUCUAGUCAAAUAUUAAUUCUGGCCAAUUGCGUUAUACAUGUUAUAGGUAAUUUUCCAGGUUGAAGAUGAAAGGAUAAAAGGUACCAAAGAAUAUUUGAAGUGAAAGGCAGUUAGAAUUAAAUGUGGAAAGGUACCAAAAACCGUUGAAGUGGGAGGUGACUACUACGAUAGAGAUUGUAUGUAGAGUAACGCAUAAAUCAGCAUGACAAAGACGCAAUUACUAGUUUGUGAUGCCAACGCAUAGUGGCCUAGUAUCUCGCAAAUAAGAUUGUAAAAUGUAAACGGGAUGACAAUCUGAACGUAUCUAUAUUCGGCACCAAUAGCUGUCUGGAAUAUCUAAUUAGUAAUAUCGAAUGGUUACUCUAUAAUACGAUGUACGAAGCGUGCUGUGUAUGUUUGUAGUGAACAGUUGUAAUGCUGAUUACUGCGUCUCUUUCUUUAUAUAUGGUGUGGUGCUGUCUAAACAAAUCUAAAGUAAAAUGUGAUGCCUAUAUAUCAGGAAAGAAUUGGUUAGAUGAGUUGAUGCUUUAUAAUCGAGUACACUGCUUCUAUUUCAGAUAACAGUGUUGCAGGUUAUUUUCUGCAAGGCUGAUAUGUUUAUAUAGCACAACUAGAUUCUAACUACAUAAUGAUUGACUGUGGUUAAACGAAGCAUCUAGGGAUAUUGUAAAAGUGUCCCAUCGUGGGUAUAUUAUAUUGUAUAUUGUGUUCUUGCAGAGGCUAUAAUUCAGUCGAAUUAUUGUUAUUAUUGCUUCCAAAUAAUGCUGACGUGUGUACUAAUUCGUCUUUCAACUACCAUAGACUUUAUGGUAUUAGGCAAGUUACUGCCACAUAUGCUUGUAGGGGUGGUGAUGGCGGUUAGCACCCCCAGGCAGCACAAAUCUACGCGAGGGUACAGUUUUACAUCUAGCGUGAAUGAACAGGUUUCAGAUUGUGUAAAUUUUGUAGUAAAAAUCCAAUUUAUAUAAACCAUUGUACGUGUGUUGACAGGUAUACAUUUUCUAGUAUUUAGGAUGAUGACGCAUCGCAUGUUAACAGGAUGUACGUAUUCUUGUCCGUUGCUUAUUUUUCUUGGAGAUAUUUGUAUAUAAAUAUUUGGAAUGUGAUUGUGAUAAUACAACCAACUUUAGUGCAAUUCGGUUGGCCCCAGUCCAACGGUUCUACUCGUGUCCCGUAGUGGCUGCUUAACUCACUGGUAAACCCCACAUACACGUUCAUCCACACUUGUAUGUACCCGUGUACGUAGCGCCACCUAUGUUAACCCGCAUACCACGCUUCACCUAUUCGCACGUGUUUGCAUCUUUGGAGCUUUUAUUUGUGUGUAACUGUGUAGCCUAAUAGCUGCAGCGGCUUCUACCUGUAGAGCUAAUUAAUGCUCACCUGCAUAAUCUGUAUGGGUCCAGCGAGAAAUCCUACCUAUGCGCACCUGCGUGGCCUUACCCUUGUUAUCUGCAUGGCUUCAUUUGCAUAGCCUAUACCUAUGCAUACCUGUGUGUACCUGUCUCACUGAGAUGGCUUCACGUGAUUUGAAGGUUUCGGUGUUGCCGAUGGUUUUCGUAAUUCAAUUCGCCUGUCUUUAUUUACGUUCAUCACAACUCGCCCAGUCGGUAGUUUAUCGGAAUUUUUCUAUAAAUUAUCAUUCUAUUCAAUAGAUUCCGCCUGUUUAGAACGUAAAUCUAAUCUAAUUUAAAUAAUCCAACUAUUGGAUCAUUAACACAUUAGAAGUUUUUAAUCGUUCCGAACUGUAGCGUUGGAGUUCAUCAAAAUCGGUAUAUAAGUAGAGUUUUUUUUGUGCUAGUAUAGUUCUAGUAUCCUUUAAUAUUUCCAACGUUUUAGAAGUCUAUUUGAAAGUUCGGUUAUUCUGAUUUCACACUGCAUGAGUAACCGCUCCCAGCGCUGCACUACACCGCAAACACCGGUACGUGGCAUCGGUGACCUCCCAUCCGCACUCACACGAUCUCAUCGCCCUCCAUCUCAUCCAUGCCACCUCUAGCUCUACUAAUACCACGUGGAACCAAAUGAGACAAAGUUAGAAAAUCUUAUGAAUGCUGGUUAGUGGUGAUGAGAUAUAGCGGUGUAUUCCUACUAUGUGUUGUUCUAAGCGGGCGGUUGUCGGUAGCUCUGUGUAUCGCGUCUGAAUGUGUCUCCUACACUCGCUGCCUACAUAUCAGCAACCUAUUUUGUAAGUGUGACCAAUAUAAGUGUGAAGACGCUUCGUUGUCGUUUUAUUUACGUGAUCUAGCCGUUCCUGCGUGUUGAUAUAGGCAUUGCUUGUGAUGAUACGGAACGUACCGUUUGUUCUAGUUACAUGGGGGUCUGGUGAUUGGUUAUAUUAUGAUUAUAAAGGUUAUGUGCGCGAAGGCUGCUGCUGUGUACGGUAGCUUCAGCAUAGACGGUUUCGUGGAAUGUCAUUUGCAACAGAUACGUUACAUUUUGGUUUUGCGUGGCGUGCGUACGCGUGUGCCUGCCUGCGUGCGCGUUUCGCUUCCGUGGUAUGGGUUUAGUUUGUGGCAGGACCACGAUGUAGCAAUGUUAUGCGAUGUCGAAAAUGAUACGUGGCUUCAAAGUAUUUUGCGGUGUUACUCAGCGACGUGACUGAGUGACUGUCCAGCGUGUCUUCGUCCAUGAGAUGGCGGUCUCUCUCAGGAAAGGCUCUAUAUGUCGCACGGCUAUUGAAUAUUAAAGAUUAGCGCGAUAGGCGCGAUGCUGGCGGUAGGAGGGCGUCUGAACGGGUGCGUGCUGCCCCCUCGCGAACAAUAAUUAAAAUACGUGCGAAGUACGAGUGAGGGUGUUACGCUCACCUGCUGGGAUUGUUGUAGUUGUUGGUGUUAGUGGUGAUGAUGAGGAUGUGUUGGUGGUGGUGUUAAGGAUGUUGAUAAUGCUGAGAAUGCGGUUAGUGGUAGUGAUGGAGAGAUGGUGGAGGUGGUGGUAGUGUGGGUGGUGUUGGUAGUGCUAGGGUGAUGUUAUUGUAACGCGUUGAACAUUGUACGAUAUAAUCUUGACGCGGUUUGGCUGUUGGCGUUGCCUGCAUGGAUUGCCUUAGAGUUGCCGCUGAAUAUUAUUUUAGUGAGAUAGCGCAAAGCCGAGUUAAAACAAUUACUCAUUUUAAAUAGGAAAGCCGUUGUUAAUAUAUUAUUCCGUAUCGUUUUUAAUACCAUUUCACUCGCUGCUUGUUUGCAUUCGUACUUUUUUUGUUAUUUGUAGAUAAGAAGCAUCAGCUGUAUAUACCAAUUAAAACAGGAAAAUGUUGUUUUGACACGCAGUACGUGAAAGUGGACAUGGUAUUACGAUUGGCCAGUAUUGUACGCACAUGCUCAUGGGAUGUGUGCAGUUCGGCAACCCACGUAACCUAAUGCCCGCGUUUCUUAUGGAAAGCUGUAUAUUCGACAACGGGUCGAAUAGUUUAACUUUACUUGCGUCAGAAAUGUUUUUCCCGAUUACUGUAUGACGACGUCUGUACGUCCGUAAGUCUGCCAGCGCAGUCCGUAUCGUGUUUUCUCUUUCUGUCUACUAUAAGCACAUACACUACCUUGUUAGUAAACUCGACCAUUUUGUAUUUCUCGACAUCCUCAUUCUGCAGUUCGCGUGAGUUGGGGGCACGUGACCGCACUCCUUCUCCUUGAUUCGUCGGAUCUUGGUCGGAUCCGUUUAACUAAAAAGCGUAUUAAGUAAUAAUUAAUACGCUCUUGGUUUAAUACACUAAUAAUGACAUUUCUGACAGUAAGCACGUUAUCUGUCGUGGACCCACGGCUCGACCGUUCUUACGUAAAUUUGGACGUAAAUUCUUACGUCCGUGGAGCAGAGCGGCCAGCCACACCUUGAAGUGACCACGUCUCCUUAACUUUGCUUCGGCGGUGAAGAUCAAAUGUAAAGGCUUCGGUUAUCGAGAUCCUAUAGUACUGGACCGUAUUUUUUCUCGUACAGGAAGAGGAUAUCUGUUAGGUUUUUUAUUAUAUGCGUUGGGGUUGCGUUCAGCUUUAGAGGGAGCCCACACGUCUCCUCAACUGAUUCCAUAAUCUCAAAAGCUCACUCGUAUGUUUGUAUGUACUUGAAUAUAAUGAUUGAAUCUUUAUAUAUAACCAGUAAUAAACGUUUCUAAAUUAUCCGUACA
rnacentral:misc_RNA from 1 species